UGGGGAAUCUUGGACAAUGGGGGCAACCCUGAUCCAGCCAUGCCGCGUGGGUGAAGAAGGCCUUAGGGUUGUAAAGCCCUUUCAGUCGUGACGAUGAUGACGGUAGCGACAGAAGAAGCCCCGGCUAACUCCGUGCCAGCAGCCGCGGUAAUACGGAGGGGGCAAGCGUUGUUCGGAUUUACUGGGCGUAAAGGGCGCGUAGGCGGACGGUCAAGUCAGAGGUGAAAGGCCCGGGCUCAACCUGGGACGUGCCUUUGAAACUGAUUGUCUUGAGUGCGGAAGAGGGUGACGGAAUUCCCAGUGUAGAGGUGAAAUUCGUAGAUAUUGGGAGGAAUACCGGUGGCGAAGGCGACCGCCUGGACGGGUACUGACACUGAGGCGCGAAAGCGUGGGGAGCAAACAGGAUUAGAUACCCCCGUAGUCC
rnacentral:rRNA from 1 species